rnacentral:lncRNA from 1 species
UACAUACAUACAUACAUACAUACAUAUAUAUAUAUAUAUAUAUAUAUAUAGAGAGAGAGAGAGAGAGAGAGAGAGAGAGAGAGAGAGAGAGAGAGANNNNNNNNNNNNNNNNNNNNAAUGCUGAACAAGGAACAUGAGAAGGCCGAAGACUCAAAGGCCACCUUUGUAUCGAGUGCAGCAGGAUGCUAGAAAUCAUCUCUAUUGGUGCCAUGUUGUGGACACAUAGUAAUGGUCUUUAUAUCUAGCUCAUAGCUUGAUAUUUUGGGUACUGUUGCACAGAGAUGGUGCAACAUUUAGCACGCUUCUUAGUUUCAUUUGUUUUAGCACUAUUAGACAAAAGUUAUUUUUUUUGAUAAUAGACAUCAAGAUUUUCUCUUCUUAACGAUGAUCAUAUUUCUGAGGUUAUGUUUUGAUCCUCUAAAGCUAUCUGUCACAGUGGGUUGUAGAGGCUGUAUGCCUGGUAUCGUAAUACUUGUUGUGUUGUAUUAUGUUAAAGUUCUCUUUGAGAGUACCCAUUGCUUGCCUAAAAUGUCAUUUUGAGAGAGAGAGAGAGCGAGCUAAUUCAAGCCUCUUUUCCCAAUUCCAUCCAAGAAGACUAGGUUUAGUAGGGUCCGGAUAUGAUCGAUUCCUGGAAGAUUUGCAGAAUUUCAGUUAAGUUUAGGCUAAUAUGGGAAAAGAAGAAUUAAUGAUUUCAGCUUCUGAUCUAACAAUUGGUUGUACCAUAAAAAAGGAAAAAUAUGGCAAUUGGUUCCGACGUUUUAGAAACCUUGGGUACAUUUGGCUAUUGAUGCUUUUCGAAGAGUAUAGACUUCACAAGAAUCAACUCUUCAUCAUGGUCAAUCAUUGGACAUUUUGUUGGUAGUCUUUAAUAGUCCUGGAUCCUUAGCCUUCACUGGCUCGGAAUUGACCAAUUCUUGCACUGCACGGGACGAGAGCUUGAUCGUGGGGGUCAUUUGUGUGAAAGGAUGAUGAAAUUUUUCCAGGGAGUUGGUGGAUUUCGCGUAUAAGCUGUUUGUCGUUUUGUGGCUUAAGAUUUUGGAUAUUCUAGCUCCCCUUUGAGGGAGUGUAGCAGUAUACUGUGGGAGGGGAGGAUGGACGGCAGAGACUACCUACCUAUUGAUCAUAGGAUGGGUGAUAUGGAAAGAGAAAAGAAAACACACUUGGAUUUCACUGAGAGGACGUCAUAUACUUUGCCUCUGUUUUGCUUGUUCACAUACUUUCAAUUGAAUAUCAUUCAGUCAGGCAUUUGGAGGGAAGAGGAACGUCUUCCUUAACUAAUGGUUUCAGUAGAAUGCGUUGCUUGUACCAAGAGUCAAGCUGGAAUUUUUUGCAUGCAAGUGAGGGGAAGGCUUUACAUUUCUUUUACCAUAGCAUACAUAGGCAUACACACAUGCAUCACAAUCUUGGCUAUGCAUAUCUUGUGAAAAGCAUUAUUAUUAUUAUUUUUGCUUUUUAUUUGGAAUAUAAUUGUUAGAUCAUGUUAUUACAUUUGACAUUUAACUCAUCAGGUUGGUAAUCAACAAACAUAUUCAACAUUGCAAAUACAAGUCUUUAGGUCAAAAUGAUAAAAACAUUUAAUCUGGUUAAGUGACUGUAAGAUCAUUUAAAGGUGCUUGAAUGACCAUGCAGACUAAACUGCUUCAAGGUAGUACUACAUAAAGAUAUUAACUACAGCAUAGCCAUUUAUGCAUUUAAGCAGCUGCUAGUACAGCAUGAGCUGACCUUCAAUUUCGAUGGAGGGUUUGCAUGCUAUAUGCAUUACUUUCUUGAUGCUCCUCACACUUUACCAUAUUUUCUUAAAUAUUAUCUUGUCUAUAUUUUUCACUUUCUUGUCGAAUCAGAUGUUUUACUGUACCCUUCUUUUCUUCCAAUGUGUAUAUUUAGCUCAAGAAGACUUCUAUUUAAUUGCUAAAUAUCAAAUUUUGUUUUCAAGCAAAUGUUUCUGUUAAAGUUAUUAUAGGAUGGGUAAAAGUUUGAAUUCUUAAUUCUUCACUCUAUUGCGAAUUUGCAUUUAUUAUCAGGAAAUUGGUUUCAUACACACUUAUUAUCAAUCCUUUUUUUUUUAAUUAAAGAAAAGAAAUCAGUGCCUAUCAUGUUAAAGGCCAAAAGCCGAGUAUGUUGCUUAUCCCUCAAUGCUGAUUUUGCAGUGCCUUUUGAAGAAGAUGAGAAAGAUCCAAGCAUCUGGUUUCUUGACCAUAAUUACCAUGAAUCAAUGUUUGCCAUGUUCAAAAGGAUAAAUGGUGUCCCCCAAUAUUCCACAUUCUGUGGUUGAUCCUUAUCAGAUUUCUCUCUUUUACUUUAUGCUCAAGUCUGGACUUAUCUUUCUUUCAGCAAAGGAACACGUUGUUGGUUGGUAUAGCACAGGCCCAAAACUACGGGAAAACGAUUUGGAUGUUCAUGCAUUGUUCAAUGAGUAAGAUUAUAGGACCUUUUUUAUCUUUCAAGUUUUUGGUUUUUUUUUUUUUUAAAUUGCAUAACUUUUUAACCAUAGGACUUUCUAGUUCCUUGUCAGAUAUCCUGAUGGGUUCAUUUUUUGUCCUUCUGCAUGGAAAUGGAAUAAUGUUCCUCUAUUCAUAAUAAAAGACAUAUAGUUACUAAUUUCUGAUCGGAACCAAUAGUUUGUUUGGAGGAUGACAAGAGUCACAAGACCAAGUUUCUAGUUUGUUGGCUGAGCUUAGCCUUCAAAAUAUUAUGUAAAAUCUGAGCAAAUUCAGUUUUCCCCUUUUAGAUUUUAAUGUUGUAAUGUUUGUUUCCUUCCCUGUUAAGAUUGGUACCUUACAAUUGACAUCUGGUUGAUUGUUUUUUCGUACACUGGACUGAAUUAUGGUUUGUUGUAUUUUUAAUAUGAUCAGCGUGUUCAAAAAAUCUUCAUAAAGAUCAAUACCAAAGGAUUGUCUAGCAUCCUAAAGAACCUUCAACAGUUUCAGCUGUGCUUUCUUUGCCUUUCCUCUCCAUUACAUGGCAGAAUGUUUAUUAUGAUACCGAGCUUUGCACAAUAUUCUCUACCUUCUUGGCAUUCUUUUGUUUGAGCCAACCCCAUAUGGAUGGCUUGAAGGUUGUCUUUAGAUCCUUUUGUAUAACCGACCUAUAUGGUUGUGAGUUUCAACUUAUGCUUCUGAUUUUCCAGUUAUGUUCUCAAUCCUGUAUUGGUGAUCAUCGAUGUCCAGCCGAAAGAGCUGGGAAUACCUACCAAAGCAUACUAUGCUGUUGAAGAGGUGAAAGAGGUAAGCAAACUCAGUGUAGUGGAACUUUUCAGGAUGAAGAUUUCACUUUAUGCUGCAUAUCAGUAGUUAGGUGCCUCAGUGCUAAUGUUUGAAAUUAUUUACAGAACGCCACUCAGAAAAGUCAGAAGGUGUUUGUGCAUGUGCCUUCAGAAAUAGCUGCUCAUGAAGUUGAGGAAAUUGGUAUGCCUAUGCUAUGUUGUUGAGCAGGAAACUGUUGCAACCACUUUUCAAUUGUUUUCUCUGUCUAGCUCCAGAAGGAAAUCUGAAUGUCCGCCUUUCUAUUUGUGAAUGACAUCAGAUCUUUUGUGCUAAAUUUUACCUUCUCUGUCUACCCCUGACAUCACCUUGGAUGUUUAUGAUGAUUGACAUGUGCUUUUUGUUUUAUAAUUGAAUGUAUUGUUAUAGGAGUUGAACACUUACUGAGGGAUGUGAAGGAUACAACCAUCAGCACCCUUGCAACAGAAGUAAUUUUCUUUCUAACAAUAUCUUUGUUCUACGAUUUCCAGUUUAAAAUAUUUGAUAUUUAUCUUAUACAGUUAGCUUAACCUUAUAAUGCUGUUAUGUUUGAUACAGGUUACUAGCAAACUUGCAGCCUUGAAGGGGCUGGAUGCAAGACUCCGAGAGAUACAAGGUUAUCUAGAUCUUGUAAUUGAUGGAAGGCUUCCGCUAAAUCAUGAAAUUUUGUACCAUUUGCAGGUAGGGUUUUCCUUGGCUUCUCUCUAUCAUCCUCCUUGUUGGGAUCAUUCAUCACAGCAUAUAGAUUUGUGGAUAAUACUAUAAUUGUUGUCCUCCCCAUAUCAUGGUCCUCUCAGUGAGGUCACAUGCAAAACAAGUUCACUUGUUUGUUCAGUCAAAAUGGCUUAAAUUAUUCCAUUUGAACUCUUACUUGGCUAUUGGUAAAGGUCAUGCUGCACAGUCACGAGGCACUAUAUCUCACUUCAUUUGGAUAUAUUAAACAAUUUUUAGCUAGUGUUUGUGGGUUUUAUUGCAUCAUAAAGAAACAUUUUGGUGGUGAUUGCUGAAACAGAUAUACAUGCAGAGAUCUGAUUGAAUGUAGUAUUUGUGAGAUAACUGGACCAAACAUCUGAGUACAUGCAUCAUAUAGUUCAAUUUGCUUUUAAAUGUAUCCUUGCUCUUGUAUUAGAGGCAUAUUGUAAGAAACAGCAUAUGUUGAAUACAAAGCUUCGUGCCAACUUACGAUUAUUUCUUUUAAUACCAGACAUUGACAUUAUUUUUUGCAUAAUUUUCUCUAGAUUUAGGAAUAUGCUUCAGGGUCCGUUAUGGGUGCAGGGAAAGUUUAUCAGGCCCUUAAAUGUUGAUUUGACAAUUUCAUAAUCAAUCAUGCUCCUGUAUAUGGUGACAAUUCCGGGAGUUGCACCAAUUCCUUAUGCCACAUGGCAAGAGAACUGUUCGUGUGUGCAUUACGGGAGCCUCAUAGUGUUCCUCAUAGAGUUAACACAUGCUCGAGACAUCCUGGUUAAUUAGCUAGCAUUGGCUGCUAAACUUUUGUUUUGGUCAACUUUGGGAGUGCAAUUUCUAUAAGAAUAUGUUUUGAAUCUCAAUUAGGAGUUGAGAAGCGAGGUCUAGAAACCAUUUCGGUUUUGACCAACCUGUGGAGUUUUGGUUUUGGCAAUUCCAAACGUUUUGCUCUAGGUUUUGGAGUUUUGGUCCAAAAGUCAAUAAAAGAAAAUUAAGCCUAGAAGUUAUAACAAGACAUUUUAGAGUUUUUUUAAUGUUUUAUAGGUUCUUUAUUUUGUACAGUUUGACAGUUCUAGGCUGAACUUAACGUUGCAUGUAAGCGAAAAUCAAAUAUAGCAGUACUUAGUAUUGUGAAUGUAUAUAUAGUAACUUAAAUUAUUUGAAAAUUUGUUAUAUUUAGGAAUUGUGAAGCUUUUCAGUGCCUGGUGAAUUCCUUUUCUUCAUUUUAGUAAAGCUGAUAAAUAUUUUAAAUUUGGAUAUUUCUUUCUGACAAUUUGGAGAAAUUCAUUGGGUUAUAUAAUAUUAUAUUGAUUUUAUAUGAAAAAAGAUGUCAUUCCUGUGCAAGGUCUUGCAUUCGGUUGCCCAUAUUGGUCUUUAUGAAAUAUGUAUUAAGGGCCUUUUUGGAGUCAGUUUGUCAAGGGUUAUGUUUAUUAUUCAUGCGCUCUUUUAAAUUAAAAGGGAAAAUUAAUUGAAAAUAUCACUGCAAUCUAUGUUUAUAAAUAAAUAAGUGAUUCGAUAUGGAUACCAAAGUAAAACCUGUAAAGAAUUGUCCAUGUUCCUCAGUUUUAAUUGAAAUCGGAUGAAACCACUGAACCUGAGAAAUUUCAACAAAAACUGAUUGAAGCUGCCGAAACUGACCAAAACUUGAAACUGGUGUGGUCAGUCUUGGUUCAUUCGAUAUGGUUCAGCAUUUCAGAAAUCGCCCAUUAUCCAUUCGAUAUGGUGUUUGAUAUGUUAUAUUUUGUGGGUACCAUCUACAAACUAGGCAACAAUUUUUUGAUAUGGAAUGGAUAAUCUCUUCAAAUGCCUCGUCCAUUAUCCAUAUUUUAGUUAUUGGUGAAGCUCCAGUAUCACCCAAGCAUGUUGCUCAAUCACGUAUCGUUCUACUAGUACCUUGAUAUGUUCAUUAAUAUUUGUAUAGGUCAAUUUUCCAUGAGAAUGUUUACUGUAAAAUUUGCUGAAGAUAUUUAUUGUCAUCUUUUGAUUAUUGUUUAUCAGAAAGUUUACAUUUGAUGUGUAGACCUGGCGUCUUCCAUGGUAUUAUUUACACAGAUAUGACUACACAACCAUAUUAUAACAAAAGACUGCCUGUUUAAACAUCGUGCAUAUUCUUUGUUUCUCCUUUCUAUUUUUCUGUUCAUUACUUUAUGCAGCCAACCUGAGAAUCCACCCUAAGUCUCAUGUGUGCAAAUGGCGAUGCCUCCAAAGCUUAUAAUGCUUGGCCAUAGAUCAAUUUUCUUCUCUCUUUUUCACGAAGAUUUCUUGAAACUGUGUUCAUGUCUUGUUUGCACUUUUUUUUGGUCUUACAGAAAACAUUUCUUCUUGCAGGAUGUAUUCAAUCUGCUUCCCAACCUUAAUGUGAAUGAAUUAAUCAAGGCUUUUGCAGGUAAUAAUAACCUUGUUAGGGACGAAUAAAAUAGUCGACUUUGUCUAGACAGUUAUUACAUCCAUGGUUUGCUAUAACAGACCAUACCACCCAAUACGGGGCCUACCAUACCAUACUGAUAUGGUACCGAGACUCGGUAUAUCCUCCAUACCAAGUUUUGGUACCGAGGUAUGCACCAUACUGACGGUAUAUAUUUGUUGGGUACUGGUAUAAGGUGUAGUACCAGGGCCGGAAACCUUGAUUAUGUCCGUCUCAUGGCAGCUUUUUGAUUGAUUCUGUUUUAUCUUUUUUUGCAGUAAAAACAAAUGAUAUGAUGCUGGUUAUAUACCUUUCUUCCCUCAUUCGGAGCGUCAUUGCACUUCACAACUUGAUAAACAACAAAGUAAUUUGUUCUCCCCCUUUUUUAUUUUAUGAAGCAUGUAAUGCAGUUUUCGGCCUAUAGUGACCNNNNNNNNNNNNNNNNNNNNNNNNNNNNNNNNNNNNNNNNNNNNNNNNNNNNUAUCUCUCUCUCUCUCUCUCUCUCUCUCUCUCUCUCUCUCUCUCCCCACAUAUGCACAUCAUCCUUUUCCUCAAAUAUAAUUUGACAAUUUGAUGUAUAUCAAUGUUAUCCUGGAUGGAGCCCAGCAUUAUUUAGUAACUACUUGUGCAAUAAAUGUCUAAAAAUGGCACUAUCUGUGAUGGCAGAUGCUGAACAAGGAACAUGAGAAGGCCGAAGACUCAAAGGCCACCUUUGUAUCGAGUGCAGCAGGAUGCUAGAAAUCAUCUCUAUUGGUGCCAUGUUGUGGACACAUAGUAAUGGUCUUUAUAUCUAGCUCAUAGCUUGAUAU